GUUCGAUCCUGGCUCAGAUUGGAACGCUGGCGGGAUGCUUUACACAUGCAAGUCGAACGGCAGCACGGACCGGUCUGGUGGCGAGUGGCGAACGGGGAGAAUGUAUCGGAACGUGCCUAGUAGCGGGGGAUAACUACGCCGAAAGCGUAGCCAUUACCGUACACAACACCCUUCGGGGGAAAGCGGGGGGACCUUUCGGGCCUCGCACUAUUAGAGCGGCCGAUAUCGGAUUAGCUAGCUGGUGGGGCAACGGCUCACCAAGGCGACGAUCCGUAGCUGGUUUGAGAGGACGACCAGCCACACUGGGACUGAGACACGGCCCAGACUCCUACGGAGGCAGCAGUGGGGAAUUUUGGACAAUGGGGGAAACCCUGAUCCAGCCAUCCCGCGUGCGAUGCCAGAAGGCCUUCGGGUUGUAAAGCACUUUUGGCAGGAAGAAAUCGCGGCGUGGACGAGAUACCACUGUGCAACUGACGGUACCUGCGGUACAAGCACUGGUUAACUACGUGCUUGAAGCAGUCAUGGUACUACUGCGUAGGUGCAGCGUUAAUCGGAAUUACUGGGCGUAGCGUGCGCAGGCGGUUCGGAAAGAAAGAUGAAAUCCCAGAGCUUAACUUUGGAACUGCAUUUUUAACUACCGAGCUAUAUGGUCAGAGGGAGGGAAUUUUAUGUGUAGCAGUGAACAACAGGAGAGGUGGAGGAAUCAUCUGAUGGCGAAGCGGUGGUGCCUCCUGGGAUAACACUGACGCUCAUGCACGAAAGCGUGGGGAGCAAACAGGAUUAGAUACCCUGGUAGUCCACGCCCUAAACGAUGUCAACUACGUUGGGGCCUUCGGGCCUUGGUAGCGCAGCUUAACGCGCGGAAGUUGACCGCCCGGGGAGUACGGUCGCAAGAGAUUAAAACUCAAAGGAAUUCGACGGGGACCCGCACAAGCGGUGGAUGAUGUGGAUUAAUUCGAUGCAACGCGAAAAACCUUACCUACCCUUGACAUGUCUGGAAUCCCGAAGAGAUUUGGGAGUGCUCGCAGAACCGAACACAGGGUGUUUGCACGCAUGUCGCCAGCUCGUCGAGAUGCUGGUUAAGUCCGCAACGAGCGGCAACUCUGUCACGAAGUACAUGAAAGGGCACUCUAAUGACUGCUGGUGACAAACCGAGGAAGGUGGGGAUGACGUCGAGUCUCACGGCCCUGAGGUAGCUUGCCAUUGCUUGCAAUGGUCGGGACAGAGGGCCGCCAACCCGCGAGGGGGGAGCCAAUCCCAGAAACCCGAUCGUAGUCCGGAUCGCAGUCUGCAACUCGACUGCGUGAAGUCGGAAUCGCUAGUAAUCGCGGAUCAGCAUGUCGCGGUGAAUACGUUCCCGGUCUUGUACACACCGCCCGUCACACCAUGGGAGUGGGUUUUACCAGAAGCAGUUAGCCUAACCGUAAGGAGGGCGAUUACCACGGUAGGAUCUAUGACUGGGGUGAAGUCGUAACAAGGCAA
rnacentral:rRNA from 1 species